rnacentral:rRNA from 1 species
AACGAACGCUGGCGGCAUGCCUAACACAUGCAAGUCGAACGAGACCUUCGGGUCUAGUGCCGAACGGGUGCUUAACGCGUGGGAACCUGCCCUUAGGUUCGGAAUAACUCCCCGAAAGGGGUGCUAAUACCGGAUAAUGUCUUCCGACCAAAGAUUUAUCGCCUUUGGAUGGGCCCGCGUUGGAUUAGCUAGUUGGUAGGGUAAAAGCCUACCAAGGCGACGAUCCAUAGCUGGUCUGAGAGGAUGAUCAGCCACACUGGGACUGAGACACGGCCCAGACUCCUACGGGAGGCAGCAGUGGGGAAUAUUGGACAAUGGGCGAAAGCCUGAUCCAGCAAUGCCGCGUGAGUGAUGAAGGCCUUAGGGUUGUAAAGCUCUUUUACCCGGGAUGAUAAUGACAGUACCGGGAGAAUAAGCUCCGGCUAACUCCGUG